AGCGAACGCUGGCGGCAGGCCUAACACAUGCAAGUCGAACGAACCCUUCGGGGUUAGUGGCGGACGGGUGAGUAACACGUGGGAACGUGCCUUUAGGUUCGGAAUAACUCAGGGAAACUUGUGCUAAUACCGAAUGUGCCCUUCGGGGGAAAGAUUUAUCGCCUUUAGAGCGGCCCGCGUCUGAUUAGCUAGUUGGUGAGGUAAUGGCUCACCAAGGCUACGAUCAGUAGCUGGUCUGAGAGGAUGACCAGCCACAUUGGGACUGAGACACGGCCCAAAAGCCUACGGGAGGCAGCAGUGGGGAAUCUUGCGCAAUGGGCGAAAGCCUGACGCAGCCAUGCCGCGUGGAUGAUGAAGGUCUUAGGAUUGUAAAAUCCUUUCACCGGUGAAGAUAAUGACUGUAGCCGGAGAAGAAGCCCCGGCUAACUUCGUGCCAGCCGCCGCAGUAAAAC
rnacentral:rRNA from 1 species